rnacentral:rRNA from 1 species
GACGGGUAGCCGGCCUGAGAGGGUGACCGGCCACACUGGGACUGAGACACGGCCCAGACUCCUACGGGAGGCAGCAGUGGGGAAUAUUGCACAAUGGGCGAAAGCCUGAUGCAGCAACGCCGCGUGAGGGAUGACGGCCUUCGGGUUGUAAACCUCUUUUAGCAGGGAAGAAGCGAAAGUGACGGUACCUGCAGAAAAAGCGCCGGCUAACUACGUGCCAGCAGCCGCGGUAAUACGUAGGGCGCAAGCGUUAUCCGGAAUUAUUGGGCGUAAAGAGCUCGUAGGCGGUUUGUCGCGUCUGCUGUGAAAUCCCGAGGCUCAACCUCGGGCCUGCAGUGGGUACGGGCAGACUAGAGUGCGGUAGGGGAGAUUGGAAUUCCUGGUGUAGCGGUGGAAUGCGCAGAUAUCAGGAGGAACACCGAUGGCGAAGGCAGAUCUCUGGGCCGUAACUGACGCUGAGGAGCGAAAGGGUGGGGAGCAAACAGGCUUAGAUACCCUGGUAGUCCACCCCGUAAACGUUGGGAACUAGUUGUGGGGUCCAUUCCACGGAUUCCGUGACGCAGCUAACGCAUUAAGUUCCCCGCCUGGGGAGUACGGCCGCAAGGCUAAAACUCAAAGGAAUUGACGGGGACCCGCACAAGCGGCGGAGCAUGCGGAUUAAUUCGAUGCAACGCGAAGAACCUUACCAAGGCUUGACAUA